AGGGAGUUUUGCUCUUGUUGCUUAGGCUGGAGUGUAGCCUCAGCUCACCUCUCAGCUCACCUCUCAGCUCACUGUAACCUCUGCCUCCUGUGUUCAAGUGAUUCUCCUGGCUCAGCCUCCCAAGUAGCUGGGAUUACAGUGAAUGGAUGCACCACAAUUUAUUUAUACAUCUAUCUAUUGAAAGACAUCAGCAUUGCUCCCAAGAUUUGGCAACUGUGAAUAAAACUGCUACAAACAUCUGCAUGCAGAUUUUUGACAGGCUCUUUCUCUGUUACCCAGGCCAAAGUGCAAGUUCUAUGAUCUCAGCUCAUUGCAGCCUUAACCCCCUGGGCUCAAGUGAUCCUCCCACCUCAGCCUCCCAAGUGGCUGGGACUGCAGUGUGUACCACCAUGACUGGUAAUUUUGUUUUCUUUACUUUUUUUAGAGGCAGAGUCUCACUAUGUUGUUGCUCAGGCUCCUGGAGAAUUCUUGGGCUUCAGUGAUCCUCCUGCCUAGGCCUCCCAAAGUGCUGAGAUUACAGGUGUGAACCCACCAAACCAGACCGCAUUUAUUUUCAAUUUCAGGCCUAAUUGGAUGCUAAGAACAUAGAUCAACAUGUCUACUAAAGAUAUUAAUUUAAUAUUUUCAAUGUAUUGAACAUCAUGUGUGCAUAUUGUUGCUAUUAAGUUUAUAAAGAGAGCUAUUAAAACAUGAG
rnacentral:lncRNA from 13 species